ensembl:rRNA 5S_rRNA 5S ribosomal RNA
GUCUACAGCCAUACCACCCUGAACACGCCCGAUCUCAUCUGAUCUCGGAAGCUCAGCAGGGUCGGGCCUGGUUAGUACUUGGAUGGGAGAGACAUCAUACAGAAAUAGCUU